GACGAACGCUGGCGGCGUGCUUAACACAUGCCAGUCGAACGGAAAGGCCCUGCUUUUGUGGGGUGCUCGAGUGGCGAACGGGUGAGUAACACGUGAGUAACCUGCCCUUGACUUUGGGAUAACUUCAGGAAACUGGGGCUAAUACCGGAUAGGAGCUCCUGCUGCAUGGUGGGGGUUGGAAAGUUUCGGCGGUUGGGGAUGGACUCGCGGCUUAUCAGCUUGUUGGUGGGGUAGUGGCUUACCAAGGCUUUGACGGGUAGCCGGCCUGAGAGGGUGACCGGCCACAAUGGGACUGAGAUACGGCCCAGACUCCUACGGGAGGCAGCAGUGGGGAAUAUUGCACAAUGGGCGGGAGCCUGAUGCAGCAACGCCGCGUGCGGGAUGACGGCCUUCGGGGUGUAAACCGCUUUCGCCUGAGACGAAGCGUGAGUGACGGUAAUGGGUAAAGAAGCACCGGCUAACUACGUG
rnacentral:rRNA from 1 species